rnacentral:misc_RNA from 1 species
GAAAUGCGAUAAGUAAUGUGAAUUGCAGAAUUCAGUGAAUCAUCGAAUCUUUGAAACGCACCUUGCGCUCCUUGGUAUUCCUUGGAGCAUGCCUGUUUGAGUAUCAUGAAAUCUUCAAAGUAAAUCUUUUGUUAACUCAAUUGGUUUCUACUUUGGUAUUGGAGGUCUUUGCAGCUUCACACCUGCUCCUCUUUGUUCAUUAGCUGGAUCUCAGUGUUAUGCUUGGUUCCACUCGGCGUGAUAAGUUAUCUAUCGCUGAGGACACUGUAAAAGGUGGCCAAGGUAAAUGCAGACGAACCGCUUCUAAUAGUCCAUUGACUUGGACAAUACUUUUAUGAUCUGAUCUCAAAUCAGGUAGGACUACCCGCUGAACUUAAGC